rnacentral:lncRNA from 1 species
AUGGACCAAAACACAUCGACACUUCUCUCACCAGACCAAAAUUCGAGCAACUAUGCGAUGAUCUGAUUAAUCGUUGCAAAGUUCCUGUUCAGCAAGCGCUGAAAGACGCGAAGUUAAGUCUAGCGGAAGUUGACGAAGUGAUUCUUGUUGGAGGCUCAACACGCAUACCUGCUAUCCGCGAAUUGGUCAAGAGUCUCACUAAGAAGGAACCGAACAUGAGCGUAAACCCCGAUGAAGUCGUAGCACUUGGCGCCGCUGUGCAAGCUGGGGUACUCGCUGGUGAAGUCUCGG